rnacentral:rRNA from 1 species
UAUUGCACAAUGGGGGGAACCCUGAUGCAGCGACGCCGCGUGAGCGAUGAAGUAUUUCGGGAUGUAAAGCUCUAUCAGCAGGGAAGAAAAUGACGGUACCUGACUAAGAAGCCCCGGCUAACUACGUGCCAGCAGCCGCGGUAAUACGUAGGGGGCAAGCGUUAUCCGGAUUUACUGGGUGUAAAGGGAGCGUAGACGGCAGUGCAAGUCUGAAGUGAAAGGCAAGGGCUCAACCCUUGGACUGCUUUGGAAACUGUGCUGCUGGAGUGUCGGAGAGGCAAGUGGAAUUCCUAGUGUAGCGGUGAAAUGCGUAGAUAUUAGGAGGAACACCAGUGGCGAAGGCGGCCUGCUGGACAGAAACUGACGUUGAGGCUCGAAAGCGUGGGGAGCAAA